ACCACGACAAAGUAAACAUGUGAAAAUCAAAGUAAAACGGAACUCCCAUCCUUAAAAAUACAUUUGCACAGUGGUUUGGAAAUACAUGCAUAUUUUUCCACCCAAGGCAUGUUCUCUAAAAUCGUUGUCCCUCAUGUUGGGAAAAUUGUGUAUGCAUUUAGGCCAAAUAAAUUGUUCCCUAUUACAUACCACUUGUAAAUUACAGUCGAAUUAAAUACCUAAAUGAAAAUAAUACAACUUUAAAAUUAUUGGUAAGAAGCUAUAGAAAGAGAUAUAAGCACAGACUAUGGGAUUACUGAAACUGAUAAAAAAGUAUAAAUUAUUAAAGUUUGAUGAAUUCGAGUACAUUAAAGUUCAGUACAUCUCUGUGUUUCAAAAGACAACAAAAGUAAACCUUCCAACUGAGAGAAGAUACUUGCAGCAUAUUUAACAGACAAAAGGAGAGCACUCUGAAUAUAUAAAUUAAUAAGAUAAAGCACAACUCAAUAAAAAAGGAGGCCAAAGACAUGAACAGACUUUUCUCAAAAUAAAUAGAAAAAAAAUAAGCAAACAAAAGAAAAAAUGCUUUAAUUAAUAAUACGGUCAGGCACUGUGGCUCAUACCUGCAAUUCCAGCAUUUUAGGAGGCCAAGGCAGGAGGAUUGCUUGAGGAUAGGAGUUCGAGACCAGUCUGGUCAACAUAGGAGACCUCAUCUCUACAAAAAAUUUAAAAAUUAGCCAGGUGUGGUGGCUCACACCUAUAGUCCUUGUUACUGAGGAGCCUGAAGCAGGAGGAUCACUUGAGCCCAGAGAUGGAGGCUGCAGUGAGCUGAGCUGUGAUCAUGCCAUUUCAUCCUAGCCCAGGCAAAAGAGCAAGAACCUGUCUCUGAUAAUAAUAAUAAUAAGGAAGAGGAGGGAGAUAAAGUUAAAACCACAACAAAAUGAGAUUUAUACCCAACAGAUAGGGAAAUAUUUAAAGAUCUGAGAUUUCCAAGUCUUGGCAGUGAGGAGGAGCAGGGGAUCUCUCACGUUCUGCUGGUGGGAAUCAGUAAACUGAUAGUAUUACUAUAUCUGGAUAUUGGUUGGCUAGUUCUCAGAUCCUAAAACUGUUGAAGAUGUUCAUACUCUUCAUCCCAGCAAAUUCUCUCCUACUUAAGUACCCUGGAGAAACUCAUGUAAUAAUGUUUUCAGUAGCAAUCAUCAUCAUAACAACAAAAAACAGAAACCCAAAUGUCCAUGAAAUAGAGAAACAAAUAAAUUAAGGUAUGUAAUUCUAAACAGCUAUGAAAAUAAAACACAGAUAGACACAUCAAUGUAGAUGAAUUUGAGAAAUACCACAAUGUGUUUGCCACUUACAAAAGAAUAUAUAUGGUGUGAUUUCAUUUAGAUGAAGUCAAAAGCUGCACAAAACUAAGUGAUAAAUGAAUGACAUUUCUGUGGCACCUUGCGUUGGGAGGGUGCAGUGGGGAUCUCUAAAGUAGGAUGAUGUUUUGUGUCUUAAUCUGCAUGGUAAAUAUACAGGACUUUAUUAUCAUUCUUUUAAGCAUAUAUUGACAUGACACACAUCCUUUUGUACAUAUGACAUAUCUGAUUAAAAACAGUAAACCAAAGAGGCAAAUGGAAGCCUUUUUUUCUGCUGGACUUAAUCUGAAAAGCAUCUGGAUAGCAUCUUAGCAUCCUAGUCAAAUUCAGUAGGGAAAGACAUGAGGAGGUGCAGCAGAGACAGGGAAGUAGGGAGGGAGGGCAGGGGACAGGAGAGAGACAAAGACCGAGGAAGAUAGACCUUGUUCUAGAGACUUCAUUUCAGUUGCUUAAUCAAGCCAUGCCUAAAGCCAGAUCUACCUUCCUGGAAGUUUCAGUCUCAUGAGCCAUUAACUUCCCUCAUCUGCUUGAACUAAAAUAUGAGAAUUUUAGUCACUUACACACACACACAAAUACACACACAAACACACACACACACACACUGCUAAUUGAUCUAGAAGCUCAUUUCUUUCUCAUUUCUUUCUCUUUUUUUCUUUUUCUUUUUUUUUUUUUUUUAGGGAUUGGGUCUCUCUCUGUUACCCAGGCUGGAGUGCAGUGGCCCCAUCAUAGCUCACUGUAGCCCUGAACAUCUGGGCUCAAGCAAUCUUCCUGCCUCAGCCUCCAGAGUAGCUAAGACUACAGGUCUGCGACACCAUGCCCAGCUAAUUUAAAAAUUAUUUGUAGAGAUGGGGGUUUCAUUAUGUUGACUGGGCUGGUCUUGACCUCCUGGUCUCAAAUGAUCCUCCUGCCUCCACCUCCAAAGUUGCUGGGAUUACAGGUGUGAGCCACUGCACCUGGCCCAUUUUUCCUCUUAACCAGCC
rnacentral:lncRNA from 1 species